rnacentral:piRNA from 1 species
UAGCUGGUCUCACAAGACACUUUGUGCCC